rnacentral:tRNA from 1 species
ACAGUGAUGGUUCAGUGGUGGAAUUCUUGCUUUCCAUGCAGCAGACCCAGGUUUGAUUUCCUGGCCAAUGCA